CGGGCAAUGCGGGNUGCUAUACAUGCAGUAGAACGCUGAAGAGAGGAGCUUGCUCUUCUUGGAUGAGUUGCGAACGGGUGAGUAACGCGUAGGUAACCUGCCUUGUAGCGGGGGAUAACUAUUGGAAACGAUAGCUAAUACCGCAUAACAAUGGAUGACACAUGUCAUUUAUUUGAAAGGGGCAAUUGCUCCACUACAAGAUGGACCUGCGUUGUAUUAGCUAGUAGGUGAGGUAAUGGCUCACCUAGGCGACGAUACAUAGCCGACCUGAGAGGGUGAUCGGCCACACUGGGACUGAGACACGGCCCAGACUCCUACGGGAGGCAGCAGUAGGGAAUCUUCGGCAAUGGGGGCAACCCUGACCGAGCAACGCCGCGUGAGUGAAGAAGGUUUUCGGAUCGUAAAGCUCUGUUGUAAGUCAAGAACGGGUGUGAGAGUGGAAAGUUCACACUGUGACGGUAGCUUACCAGAAAGGGACGGCUAACUACGUGCCAGCAGCCGCGGUAAUACGUAGGUCCCGAGCGUUGUCCGGAUUUAUUGGGCGUAAAGCGAGCGCAGGCGGUUUGAUAAGUCUGAAGUUAAAGGCUGUGGCUCAACCAUAGUUCGCUUUGGAAACUGUCAAACUUGAGUGCAGAAGGGGAGAGUGGAAUUCCAUGUGUAGCGGUGAAAUGCGUAGAUAUAUGGAGGAACACCGGUGGCGAAAGCGGCUCUCUGGUCUGUAACUGACGCUGAGGCUCGAAAGCGUGGGGAGCGAACAGGAUUAGAUACCCUGGUAGUCCACGCCGUAAACGAUGAGUGCUAGGUGUUGGAUCCUUUCCGGGAUUCAGUGCCGCAGCUAACGCAUUAAGCACUCCGCCUGGGGAGUACGACCGCAAGGUUGAAACUCAAAGGAAUUGACGGGGGCCCGCACAAGCGGUGGAGCAUGUGGUUUAAUUCGAAGCAACGCGAAGAACCUUACCAGGUCUUGACAUCCCGAUGCUAUUUCUAGAGAUAGAAAGUUACUUCGGUACAUCGGUGACAGGUGGUGCAUGGUUGUCGUCAGCUCGUGUCGUGAGAUGUUGGGUUAAGUCCCGCAACGAGCGCAACCCCUAUUGUUAGUUGCCAUCAUUCAGUUGGGCACUCUAGCGAGACUGCCGGUAAUAAACCGGAGGAAGGUGGGGAUGACGUCAAAUCAUCAUGCCCCUUAUGACCUGGGCUACACACGUGCUACAAUGGUUGGUACAACGAGUUGCGAGUCGGUGACGGCGAGCUAAUCUCUUAAAGCCAAUCUCAGUUCGGAUUGUAGGCUGCAACUCGCCUACAUGAAGUCGGAAUCGCUAGUAAUCGCGGAUCAGCACGCCGCGGUGAAUACGUUCCCGGGCCUUGUACACACCGCCCGUCACACCACGAGAGUUUGUAACACCCGAAGUCGGUGAGGUAACCUUUGGAGCCAGCCGCCUAAGGUGA
rnacentral:rRNA from 1 species